GAUGAACGCUGGCGGCGUGCCUAAUACAUGCAAGUCGAGCGAACAGACGAGGAGCUUGCUCCUCUGACGUUAGCGGCGGACGGGUGAGUAACACGUGGAUAACCUACCUAUAAGACUGGGAUAACUUCAGGAGACCGGAGCUAAUACCGGAUAAUAUAUUGAACCGCAUGGUUCAAUAGUGAAAGACGGUUUUGCUGUCACUUAUAGAUGGAUCCGCGCCGCAUUAGCUAGUUGGUAAGGUAACGGCUUACCAAGGCAACGAUGCGUAGCCGACCUGAGAGGGUGAUCGGCCACACUGGAACUGAGACACGGUCCAGACUCCUACGGGAGGCAGCAGUAGGGAAUCUUCCGCAAUGGGCGAAAGCCUGACGGAGCAACGCCGCGUGAGUGAUGAAGGUCUUCGGAUCGUAAAACUCUGUUAUUAGGGAAGAACAAAUGUGUAAGUAACUAUGCACGUCUUGACGGUACCUAAUCAGAAAGCCACGGCUAACUACGUG
rnacentral:rRNA from 1 species